rnacentral:ncRNA from 1 species
AAAGACUUAGUCCUAACCUUACCGUUAGUUAUAGCCAGAUACAUACAUGCAAGUAUCCGCACUCCAGUGUAAAUGCCCUUAGACUCUUAUAUUUACUUAAGAUAGAGGAGCAGACAUCAGGCACGCCCCCGCAGCCCAAGACGUCUUGCUUAGCCACACCCCCACGGGUAUUCAGCAGUAGUUAACAUUAAGCAAUAAGUGAAAACUUGACUUAGUCAUGGCUACCCUCAGGGCCGGUAAAUCUUGUGCCAGCCACCGCGGUCAGACAAGAGGCUCAAAUUAACUGUCAUACGGCGUAAAGAGUGGCAUGAAACUAUCAAAGCAACUAAGACCAAAACUCAACUAAGCUGUCAUAAGCUAAAGAUGCAUCUAAGACUACCUCUAAAGACGAUCUUAGCUCAACCUCACACGACGGACUAAACGCCACGAAAGCUAGGACCCAAACUGGGAUUAGAUACCCCACUAUGCCUAGCCCUAAAUCUUGAUGUGCUACUCCCACCUAGCCAUCCGCCUGGGAACUACGAGCACAAACGCUUAAAACCCUAAGGACUUGGCGGUGCCUCAAAUCCACCUAAAGGAGCCUGUUCUGUAAUCGAUAACCCACGAUGCACCUAACCCCUUCUUGCCAAACAGCCUACAUACCGCCGUCUCCAGCUCGCCCUCCCUGAAGGUCUAACAGCGAGCACAAUAGCCUUGAAUCAUCGCUAGUAAGACAGGUCAAGGUAUAGCUAAUGAAGGGGAAGAAAUGGGCUACAUUCUCUAAAAUAGAGAAAUUUUUUAUUAGACGAAAGGGGGCGUGAAAUCGCCCCUUGAAGGCGGAUUUAGCAGUAAAAGGAGAUAAGAAAGCUCCAUUUAAGCUGGCCCUGAGGCACGUACAUACCGCCCGUCACCCUCCUCACAGGCUAUCAAAUUAGACUAUAACUAAUUCACCAUUAAAGCCAAAGAUGAGGU